UACGUAGGGUGCGAGCGUUAAUCGGAAUUACUGGGCGUAAAGCGUGCGCAGGCGGCGCCGCAAGUCAGGCGUGAAAUCCCCGAGCUUAACUUGGGAAUGGCGCUUGAAACUACGGUGCUGGAGUGUGGCAGAGGGAGGUGGAAUUCCACGUGUAGCGGUGAAAUGCGUAGAGAUGUGGAGGAACACCGAUGGCGAAGGCAGCCUCCUGGGCCAACACUGACGCUGAGGAGCGAAAGCCAGGGGAGCAAACGGG
rnacentral:rRNA from 1 species